UCCUCAUCAUCAUCACAUUUUCUGCAGUGGCUGUGGUGCUCUACAAGAUUUACAUUAAGAAGUGCAGAACGUCCAGAAAUGAUGUUAAUGAAGAUGUGAUGCUUGAAUCCACAGCAAUUUACGUUAAUGUCAGACCUCCUGGAUGGCAUCACAAAGAAGCUCGCUGAUGAAGAAACACCUGAUGGAGCUGUACAUCAAAUCACCCUUUACUCUUUACUCUGCUUAGUUAUGAAGAUGUUCAAUAUGUAGUAAGUCUCUUUGCAGCUUUAGAAUUUAUUUUCAAACCUUCAGCUUCUCAUUAUUAGCUAAAAUCUCCUGUACUAUGUAUAUUCAGUUCUAUGGUCAUUUUCUCACUUUGUUACACCUGACAGUUUUAUCAUGUCUGUUGCUUUAAUGUGCACAUUGUACCAUGUUAGAAACUGUCCUUUUCUCAUUGCUGUUUUUA